GCUCCGCGGCAUAUGGGAUCCUCCCAGACCGGGGCACGAACCCGUGUCCCCUGCAUCUGCAGGCGGACUCUCAACCACUGUGCCACCAGGGAAGCCCUCUGUGCAUGUUUUCUAUUGAGUUGAUGGGCCUUGAGAGAAGGUUCUGAAAUAAACAAUAAUUAUUUGCCUGGCAAAAGUCUUCUAGAAUCAUAAAGUUAUGCUAAUGAAGACAGUGGAAUAGUCAAGUCAUGUAAAUGGGGACAGUGAGCUGUGUGGGGUUGGUGAUCUGGAUUUGCAGUAUACACUUACAUUAUCUAUAUACAUACUCAUGUUACCUUUAUCCAUGAACUCUGCUAUAAUGUGCUCAGGUGAGGGGGAAAUGAAAAUAGAAGCACCUCCUGUGUAUGACUGUGAACACCCAGAGGGGGCAUCUUUAACUAAUUUGCACUAAGACUCCAUAUAGGCAAUUGGCAGCACUAUACAAUGUACUUUUUAAACACAAAGAUCUGCACUCUGAGUCUACACAUGAUCUGUUCCUUGCUUUUUGCUCACCAAUGCAUUGUAGGGAUCUUUCCAUAUUGGCACAUAUAGAUCGCUUUCAUUUCUGUAAGAGCUGCAAGGUAAUCCUUAGAAAUUUAUCAUAAGUAUUUAACCAGUCUCAUAUUGUUGGACACUUGAAUGGUUUCUAGUUUUUAGCUCUUAUAAUAUUGCCAUGAACAUCCUUCGGUGGAAGUAUCUAACCCAAGUUGCCUGGUUUAAAAGUCCCUACUCUGUUACAUACUGUGUAACCUUGAGCAAGUCUCUUGAUCUCUUCACCUUCAGUUUACUCAUCUGUAAAAUGGGCACAGAACCUUCUUCAUUAUGUCAUGUUGAGGAUUAAAUGAGAUGAUCCACAUAAAACAUUUUUCAGCCCACCUUCACAUAGUAAGCACUCAAUAAAUGUCAACUCUUCUAAUUGUUCAUAAUUCCCAUGGGGUAAGUUUCUACUAGUGAGAUUUCUGGGUCAAGGCACAUGCAGUUUUCAUUUUAAUAGAUACAAAUUGCCUUCCAACAAAGGUGUACAAAUUUAAGUCCUACUGACUGUGUUUGAGAGUAGCUAUUUCUCUGAAACGGGAAUCAUCAACUUUUUUUUUUUUUUUUUUUGUGGUACGUGGGCCUCUCACUGUUGUGGCCUCUCCCACUGUGGAGCACAGGCUCAGCAGCCAUGGCUCACAGGCCUAAACGCUCUGCAGCAUGUGGGAUCUUCCCAGACUGGGGCACAAACCCGUGUCCCCUGCAUCGGCAGGCGGACUCGCAACCACUGUGCAACCAGGGAAGCCCGGAAUCAUCAACUUUUGACCUUUACUCCAGUCUGAGAGUUUUAAUAUCUUAUUGUUGUUUUGACUUGCAUCUCUUUAAUGUGAAUGAAAUGGAACAUUUGUGUUUCUUUUACUUGCUUACCCAUUUUUCUAUUGGGUUAUUGUUCUUUUCCUUAGGUUUCUAUGAGCCCACUGUAAGGAGAUUGACUUCUAUCAUCUGUAAUAUAGAAUUUUCUGCUUGUCUUAUGAUUUUAUAAGUAGUAAUUUGGGAGAGUCCAUUCAUGAAUUUUAAUUUUUCCAGUAGUAAAAUUCAUCAGUCUUUUCCUUAACAGUCUCUGGAGUCUGCUUCCUCCUUGGAAAGUCUUCCCUAAACAAAAGUAUACGUAAAAAAUCAUUCAUGCUUCUUUUUACAGCUUCCAUGGAUUCAUUGAUUCUUUGCUCCAGAUGGUAUUUAUUUUGAUGUAAGAAGUAAGAUGAGAAGGGAUUUUUUUUAAUGGUUGCUGGUUUUCCCCCAAGACAUUUGCUGAAUUCUAUUUCUUUUUUUCUUGUGUCUGAAAUGCCACCCUUAAAUUCCCAUAUGUAUUUUGUGUCUCCUGCCUCUGUGCACUUUCCACUCUGUUUCACUGAAGUGCUUAUUGUAUACUAUCCUGUUUUAAUUUGAAUAACUUUAUAAUAGGUUUUAAUAUGGUUGGGUCAGUGACCCAUCUCUACUCUUUUACUUCCAAAUUUCAUUGGCCUAUCUCGCAUUUAUAUUUUAUUUCCAACAUUUCUUUUAUUACAAACUAGAAGCCAGAUGAAUUCUAGAGUUUUUUGGUUAGGUUUCCCCCCAAAUCUUGAUGGUAUGCUAUUUUGAGAUUGCUCUGAAUUUAUAAUUAAUUUAGGAGAGUUAAAUUAUAGUUUUGAGUCAUCCUAUCCAAAAGUAAUGUGUGUAUUCCUAUUCAUUUUAAUCCUCUUUCAUGUCUUCCAGUAGAAUUGGGAGAUUUUGUUCACAUAGACCCUGAAAAUUUCCUUUAAGGUUUAUACCAAGCAAGUGAAAACUGUUGUGUCACUUCCUUCUGGUCUUCAUGGUUUCUGAUGAGAAAUCUGCUGUGAUUUGAAUUAUCUAUCCUCUAUUGGUUUGGUUUUCUACUGGACACCCCCAUAUGUUCUGGAAUUACAGAAGGGAAAUGAAAGCCCCGAGGGAGGCCUGGGGACUCCCACCAACUCUACCUGGAGCUGGUUCUACCCACUGCCUACUGACUUUGGAGAAGGCAGCACUUUAUCAUUUCAUCUUCCACUACCCCCAACAAGAGGAAGAUUUUGUUGAACUUUACUUACUGUACCUGGCAUUAGGAAAACAAGAGUCUGUUGCUGAGGAUCACUGCAGGGGUGAAUUUUUAAUGAGAAGACCUAGGAGAAGGGGCUUGCCCAGUACUGCCUGUCACACUUGGUGCCGUCUGGGCACCCUCGUGUACCUUUUGGUAAAGGACUCAGCCACCUUGCUAUAGCAGCCCAGACCCAGCCAGAAUACAGGAUUGGUGAAGUCCGUGCAAAAUGUAUAAAGUUUUCCCACUUGAAAUUUGAAUAGGAACCCCCACACCUUCCCAUCAAGGCCUGGCUCUGAAUGUCCACACUGCAAGCAGGCUGCUUACUUUGGCAGUUUUCUUGGCUCUCCACCACCCCCCUCCACCCAGUGAUACCAUAUCCCCCUCAGAGUCUCAUCUGCUGGCAUUCCUGGAUUCCUGAGGACAGCCCUGGCUCAACUCCAGAAUCUGUACGCAAGUGAGUGACUCAGCCUGUCUCAUGCAGUGAGCAAAGGCUUCUGGUUCAGAGAAUGUUAAGCAGUUGAUAAGUAAAUCUGUCCUGUAUCCCAGAAAAGCAGGACCCAACUCUCUCCUGGGCCGUUGUCUCAGCUGCCUCCCCACACAAAAGCUGUUGCUUUAAAGAGGAGGCCCUUUGCCAAGUGGCCAAACUCCUUUGUCCCUGCAAAUAAAACUUUCCACUAGGUGGCCUUCAAGUUCCUAUUAAGGAGAAGAGGGGAAAAAAGGACAAAAUCCAAAUCUUUAGAGAGAGAGAAAGAGAGAGAGAGAGAGAGA